GUGAGUCUUGUGAGCUAAUACAGU
rnacentral:piRNA from 1 species